rfam:Zootermopsis nevadensis contig3998, whole genome shotgun sequence.
GCCACGGUGGUCUAGCGGUUAGAAGGCUGGCCUUUUAAUCCUGGGGUCUCGGGUUCGAUUCCCGGCGGUGCCC